rnacentral:rRNA from 1 species
GAAUAUUGGACAAUGGGGGGAACCCUGAUCCAGCCAUGCCGCGUGUGUGAAGAAGGCCUUUUGGUUGUAAAGCACUUUAAGCGAGGAGGAGGCUUACCUGGUUAAUACCCGGGAUAAGUGGACGUUACUCGCAGAAUAAGCACCGGCUAACUCUGUUCCAGCAGCCGCGGUAAUAAAGGGGGUGCCAGGGUUGAAUGGAUUUACUGGGCGGAAAACGCGCGUAGGGGGGUAAGUAAGUAAAAUGUGAAAUCCCCGGGCUUAAAUUGGGAAUGGCAUUCGAUACUGGGUAGCUAGAGUAUGGGAGAGGAUGGUAGAAUUCCAGGUGUAGCGGUGAAAUGCGUAGAGAUCUGGAGGAAUACCGAUGGCGAAGGCAGCCAUCUGGCCUAAUACUGACACUGAGGUGCGAAAGCAUGGGGAGCAAACAG